ensembl:lncRNA
CCCAUCUGUCCCCCUUUACCCAUCUGUCCCCCUUACCCAUCUGUCCCCUUUACCCAUCUGUCCCCCUUACCCAUCUGUCCCCCUUACCCAUCUGUCCCCCUUACCCAUCUGUCCCCCUUUACCCAUCUGUCCCCCUUUACCCAUCUGUCCCCCUUACCCAUCUGUCCCCUUUACCCAUCUGUCCCCCUUACCCAUCUGUCCCCCUUACCCAUCUGUCCCCCUUACCCAUCUGUCCCCCUUACCCAUCUGUCCCCCUUACCCAUCUGUCCCCCUUACCCAUCUGUCCAACUCUCUCCCCCUGUCCCCUUUACCCAUCUGUCCCCCUUACCCAUCUGUCUCCUUUACCCAUCUGUCCCCCUUACCCAUCUGUCUAACUCUCUCCCCCUGUCCCCCCCUUACCCAUCUGUCCAACUCUCUCUCCCUGUCCCCCUUACCCAUCUGUCCCCCUUACCCAUCUGUCUAACUCUCUCCCCCUGUCCCCCUUACCCAUCUGUCCAACUCUGUCCCCUGUCCCCCUUACCCAUCUGUCCAACUCUCUCCCCCUGUCCCCUUACCCAUCUGUCCAACUCUCUCCCCUGUCCCCCUUACCCAUCUGUCCAACUCUCUCCCCCUGUCCCCCUUACCCAUCUGUCCAACUCUCUCCCCUGUCCCCUUACCCAUCUGUCCCCCUUACCCAUCUGUCCAACUCUCUCCCCCUGUCCCCCUUACCCAUCUGUCCAACUCUCUCCCCUGUCCCCCUUACCCAUCUGUCCCCCUUACCCAUCUGUCCAACUCUCUCCCCCUGUCCCCCUUACCCAUCUGUCCAACUCUCUCCCCCUGUCCCCUUACCCAUCUGUCCAACUCUCUCCCCCUGUCCCCUUACCCAUCUGUCCAACUCUCUCCCCCUGUCCCCCUUACCCAUCUGUCCAACUCUCUCCCCCUGUCCCCUUACCCCUUAUAUCUCCCUGUCUAACCCUCUCUGCCCCUCAUCCCCCAGUUUAACCCUCUCUGCCCCUCAUCCCCCAGUCUAACCCUCUCUGCCCCUCAUCCCCCAGUCUAACCCUCUCUGCCCCUCAUCCCCCAGUCUAACCCUCUCUGCCCCUCAUCCCCAGUCUAACCCUCUCUGCCCCUCAUCCCCCAGUCUAACCCUCUCUGCCCCUCAUCCCCCAGUCUAACCCUCUCUGCCCCUCAUCCCCCAGUCUAACCCUCUCUGCACGGGACCUAACACGCUUUACCAACUGGACCUGACUGGACUCAACUAGAUAAAACCAGACCUAACCGGAUUAAACCAGACCUAACUUGAUCAAACUAGUCUAAACGGACAUGGUUGAUUGUAUUCUCAGACCCUCGUGCCUGUCUUGUCGACAGACCCACAAUGCUUUGCGACCCAGCUCCCGUGGAGUCUUGGAGGACCUCAGGGAGACCACUUUCCCAGCCAACAAGAUUACACUCAGUGGACUUCUGGAUGGACAUAGGGAGAGAAUGAAAGAGAGAGAGAAGGUAUAGUCUUAUCUCUCUCAGGAGGAGUGAUGAGCUGUGAUGUCUUCUCUGCACUGACAGACAGAUGGAUGUGAAUGUGUGCAUAGAUACACACAGGCUACUGUAGGUAUUUAUUAGACUGAUAUACAGUAUAUGAACAACUAUAUACUAAUAAAUGAUGGUGUUUGUUGCCUUUUAACACUG